rnacentral:lncRNA from 1 species
CACGUGCUUCCCGAUGCGUUCGAAAACUUGACAUCUCCGUGUAUCAGUGCCCAUCCGUGGGGAGAUUUUCCAUUCACAGGCUUUGUCGCAAUGGUUUCGGCCAUUGGGACUCUUAUGGUGGACACAUAUGCAACCUCCUAUUACAGCAAGGAAUCAAGAGGCAAGGCGCAAAUAGCUAGCGGCGAAGAAGGAGUUGUCCCGGUUCAUACUCAUGCCACCCAUGGCCAUGCACAUGGAGCAGUAUCGAUGGAAACUGAUUCUGGUGAAACACAACUUCUUCGUCACCGCGUAAUCUCACAGGUUUUUAUCUUGAUUCACUAAUUUUGUUGUGUUCGAAGCAGAAAUUACUUGUCACUAAUUGUUAAGACUUUGGAUUUCAUCUUAAAAGAUGAAUUUUAUUAAGAGAAAUAGCACGAGUCUAUAUAUAUAUAUUGAUCUAUACUUUUAUUUUUAUUCGAUGUGGCAUUUGUCUCUUAUCAUGUCCUAUAAAUGGUGACUCGUUUAAACAGACUAAUCUUAAAAUAUUUGUGCUCUUUUUUUGAGUUUUAAUUAGAUCGAAUUGUAUGUUUGAGUUUAAUGGACUCUGGUACCAUCUUAAGACUUGAGUUCGACAUUAAAAAGUCAAUAAGAAGAAUAGCACAAAUUCUUAUAUAUUCAUCUAUAUUUUUAUCUUUAUUCAAUUUGGGAUUUGUCCCUUAACUCUGAUGUUUAAUUUUCAUUGUGCUGUAGGUGUUGGAGUUGGGAAUUAUAGUCCAUUCUGUAAUUAUUGGAAUUGCUUUAGGUGCUUCUGAAAGUCCUAAAACAAUAAAGCCUUUAAUUGCUGCGUUGACCUUUCAUCAGUUCUUUGAAGGCAUAGGCUUAGGAGGAUGCAUAACGCAGGUAUUCACACAUAAAUCUUGUCUCAGUAUUUCAUUUGGUGCAAUUUUUACAGAUUUUCAUAUUUUCCAUUUUGCUCUUCAUUUUCUACUAAAAUUUAAAUUAUUAUUAUAUCCCUUUUUAUAUCCAUUUAUUAUUUAAAUGAUUUAGUUUAAUCUAAUUUAUGUUUAUUUUAAUUCGUUACUAUUUCUAUAUUGUGAUGUCAAAAGUAAUUAUUUUUUAACUGUAACAUUAAGCCCCUAUUUGACAAUCAUUAUUUGAAGAAAAUGAUGGUUUAAAUAGUGAUUUUUAAGAUAGUCCAUAUUGAUUUUUAAGAUAGUCCAUAUGUACUAAAGUAAAAAGAUUUCAACAUAGCCAAACUCCAUUUUAAGAUUUAUUUGUUGUUGCUUCUGCUUCUUCGCCUUAUCUAAUUCCUAUGCAUUUCUCCACAAAUCUACUCAUACUAUUACAAUGCUUGAAUUAACAUGUUAUUUUUUUUCGUUCUUUUUGGAAAGAUUCUUUCGAAUGCAUCUUAGUGCUUAGCUUAAUUAUUCGUGUUCUUAAUUUACAGGCUAAGUUUAAAUCACGCGCAAUUGCAAUAAUGGCCCUCUUCUUCUCUCUCACAACUCCAAUAGGCAUUGUGAUAGGUAUUGGAAUAACAAACAUUUAUGGUGAGACCAGUCCCAAUGCUCUUAUUGUUGAGGGAAUUUUUAACUCAGCAUCGGCCGGAAUCUUAAUUUAUAUGGCACUUGUAGAUCUUCUUUCAGCUGACUUUAUGAGUCCAAGAAUGCAAAGCAAUGGAAAGCUUCAGUUAGGUGCAAAUAUUUCUCUUCUUCUAGGCGCUGGAUGUAUGUCUCUCUUGGCAAAGUGGGCUUGAGAUAUAUCACAUGUUUUUAUUCAUCCUCCUCCUUUCUCAUUACUAAUAUUGCUCUCUUUGUACGACAAAAAUGUCGAAGUACACUACUGAUAUGAAGUAUGUUGCAUGUUUGUUUGUUUUUUAUUUUAAUUACAUAUCGUAUUGAUUAUUUGGAAUUGCAAAAUUAUGACUUAUACACAUUUUGCGAAAAUGUCAUAGUAUACCAUUGAUACUAUGAUAGUAUACCAUUGAUACUAUGAGGAAGACAUGAUGGCUAAGCCCAUGUUUAGUUCAGCUAAAAAAUCAAUUAAAAUUUAAGUUAAAGUCAACAAUUAAUUUUAACCACACUUUUUAUGGAACUCAAUUUUCCAACGACACGGAGCUAAAUAAAAAAGAAGAUAAUAAGAAAUUUGAGUCCCAAAGAAUAUAACUUAGGUUGUUUUUCCUUGCAAUAAUAUGUCCGUAGGUGUCGAGGGCCAUUGGAAUCACCAGACCAAUGGUACUACGCUUUUGGAUGUAUACUGCUAGUGAUAAGGAAUAGGAAUUACUUUAAAUUAAAUUUACCAAUGAAAAAUUGGAAUCUCAAUCUUCUAAUAUUUUCCCUUUGAAUUGUCUUCCAAAAACAGACAAAUAAAGUGUGCUCUUGUUGACAGUGGGCACAAAUUUUGGAUGGCAUUUGAACGAACAAAAUGGUGGGUGGCAGAGAUAGAAGUUCAAAUCAUGUUGAAUAUAUUAUACUGAAUAUAAAAAAUAAAAAAUAAAUAAAUAAAUAAAUAAAAGAAGAAGAAGAAGAAGGAAGAAGAAGAUAGAAAUCAAUAGCUCCCUUACGUCAUUAUGAUGUUAGAAAUUUUGUACCAAUAUGGUGUCUUGCAAAGUACACUCGGUGUCAAAAUUCUCUUAAAAAAAAAAAAAAGGUUGGAAAUAUGAUUAUACAAGGGGAAAGCAUAAUGUUCUCACAACUUUUCUGAAUUUAUUUUCGUCAAUGGCAUUUUUAACCUAAUUAUAAUUAUAUUUUUCUAUUGAAAAAUCAUAUUGCUCGGUGCAUUCAUAAUAUUAUAGAUUAAUAAUUUCAAUCUCAAUUAGAUCGAUCCUUUAUUGAGCAUGAUAAUUAAAGUGGACACAAAAAGUUCAGUUUAAUAUCAUUCUCACGAGUAUUCAAUUGUUGGUUUUAUUGUACCUAACUUCUAUUUGUUCAAAAUAAAUGAAAGUUAUAUUAGUUACAUUCCUAAAAAUUAUACAUUUAUGAAUAUAAUUAAAAAGUGCACAAAUGAAGAGAUAAGGAUUUUACUUUGUGUAUUUUAAAGUGUUAGGAUUCACGAGUCUACCAUAUCUAUCCACUUAAUCUUAAUCAUCAAAUUUCGAAACCAACCAAUUAUGUGCGUCUAGUUGAAUUCUUCUAAACUAAUACAUUUACAUCUCUCGAAUUCAAAUCAACCAGGCUCAAUUAAGUUAAUAAUUAUACAUCUACAUGAAUCACAAUAAGUUUUAAUUAAGAGCAGUCAAUCACCGAAUAAAUAAAUUAAAUGCCGCAAAAUUAGUACCAAGUGUAUAUCUUCUUUCUAUCGAAAUUUCGAUUUUUAAUAUGUAGUCCAAUCAAAUUACUGAUCUUUCGAUUUGUUGUCGUUCAUAAAUCAAUGGAUUAAAGAUCGAAUAAUCCAAAGUCAUGAAUAAUAUAAGUAAAAAUGGUCCACAAAUAUCAAUUGAAGAUCGACACUUAAUACUUAAAAUUAAGGUUCAAAUUUAAACUAUAUCAUUCAUCCCAAUUCAUUAUUUUAAUUACACAUCAUGAAGAAGAAAAUUACAAGCCAGAUUUAGAGUACACUAUCAAUUUAAAGAGGAAACGAGAAAAAAAAUGUGUCGGGAUGCGAAACCACAACCAACAUCCACUGAUUCCUCUUCACCCAUGAUUGGAGCAAUUUCUUUCACGACAUCUGACCACAACAUUCUACAAAAUGGUUUACAACAGUAAGUGAUAGACGCACAUUUGUAUUUCGAAUCCAUACUUAAAAAUUUUGAAAUUUUAAAAUGGGGAUCUGAAAUUUUUUCAUUUUUGUUUUGUAUACAUUUUUCUCUUUUAUUUAUCGAGAACGUAUGGUCCUAGAGUAAGAGGUUUCGAAAAUGCUCCUGAACAUGGUAAGUGUCCCUAUUUUGUGGUUUCAGCAUAACUUUUUGGUUCAAUUUUUUACGUGUUCUGAUUUGAAUUUUGAUUUAUUAAAAAAAAAAAAAAAAGGUUGAACCCCAGCCUUAAGAACUCCCAUCGUCCCGUUCCUAGAGCUUUGUGAGGGAGGUAAAUCGCGGGAUGUGCAAUUCCAUGUCUCAGGAAUCGAAUCUCCACACUGCAGCUACCAAUAAGGCAUGAGAUAACCUCACUCUCGUCCUUUGCACCACUGUGCUAUGUCCCGAGAGGGCGAAUUUUGAUUUAUUACAUAAACACAUGUUGAUUGAUGUGGGUUUUGGCCUAUUUCGGUACUAAUUAGUUCACUUCAUGUUCAUUCAGUUGGAUAUAUGGACUACCUCAUAAUAGCUGCAUUCAAUUGGGGUAUUUUCUUGGAUGAGUCGAAUAAUGUGAAGUACAAAACGGUACGAUGAUGUUCUCGGACCAUGUGAAGCCUGUGCAUUUCAAUAGGGAUUGGUUUGAGGCAUUUGCAUAUGUCUGUAAAGAUUACGGGGCUUUGGACUUCUAAUUGAAGAUGCAGAAAGAUAAUUUGGAUUGUGCUUUGAGAAGGUUACGUAGCAAAUCAGAUGUAAGGGAGAUGUUGAAGGACGUUAAAUGAUACAAAUUGGUUGAGAUUUAUGUGGUGGUACCUAACCAAACAUAUGCACUAACACGUGAACCAUAUCAAGAACAUUCACAAUAUGUUCUGGAGAACGAUGUCGAUAAUGCAAGGGGUGAAACUAAUGCUGAAGGAUGCUACGUCUCGGUGUUAGAUUUGGAUGGAGAUGGUGCAGUCGAGCAUGAUAAUGGUGAUUUCGUAUUUGAGAAUAUUGAUGAUGCGUGGUAGUUUGAGAAAAUACUUACGUAUGACGCUGAAAUUGGUAAUUUACAUCUGAAGCGGUUGAAGAAAACCCGAAAUUGGGUUAUGAACAAUCGGAUCAAGCCGAUGAACAUAGUGAUUAUGAAAGAAUGGACGAACCAGUGGAUGGUUUUGUCGAAAAUGACUACAAAGUUGAUGAUGAACAACCAACUACUAGUGAAGAACCAGUUAACCUUGAUUUCAAUUUUUGUUUUGGCUUGUACGAGGAGCAAAAAGUUAGAGAUACUGACAAUGACUAUGGAAAUUCAGUUAAGUUAGAAAGUUGGAUGGUGGAGAGGAUGAAGAAACAACAUCUAGGAAGAGGCGAUGAACUAAUACAUUCAACUUUGGGACUGAAAUGGAGGAACCAGUUUUCAGAAAAAGUUAAAGCACAAUAACUAGUGACAUUUACCGUACAAUAAAACCUCGAUAAAUUAAUAACCUCAUUUAAAUAAUAAAAAUUUCUGUCCAGUCUUUAGCUAGUGUACGAAAUUAACAACUUCAUUAAAUGCAUAUGAUAAUUUUUUUUUUUUUUUUUUUAAUGAAAUCCUUUAAGACCCAUCAAAUAUAUAAAAUAAUAACUCCUUAAAUUCAUAAAAGUUCAUACUAAUACAAAUUAACAAAGUUUUAAUUUAACAUCUUUUUAAUUUGCUUAUUUUUCAAAAUAUUCAUCUAAAUUCUUUUGCUUUUUCUUUGCAUCCAAAUCAAAUUCAACUUCAUCCCUAAUUUUUUUUAGCAAUGCAAAUACAACAUUUGACAUUUUCUUUUUCCGUUUUGUACAAAGUUAUUAUUUAAGGUUAUGACUACUUGAAAUACCUUUUUUGAAAAAAUAAUUAGCAAAACACAACUAUCAUCUGGAUCACGACCGUCAUUGAGACCUAUAUUGAGUACCAUUGAAUAUAAAAUACUCUGUUUAUUAAUAAAUAUUCAUUUAUCGAUAAUUAAUAACCUUUUUAAUAUAAUAAUUUUUCUCGAUCCCAACUUUAUUAUUGUAUAGAGAUUUUACAGUAUGUUUGACUGUAGCCCCCUGACCUUUAUCAUACGUUGUGCAAUACCCCUACAAGUAGAUUACAUUGUGGAAUACACAAUUGACAUGAAUAUAUUUUGUUGAAUAUCAUCCUGAACUUUUCAAUUGUGUGCUAACAAGUUUGUCGUUCAAAAUAAAAUGCCAUUUUGAAAGUAGAGAUUGAGAAUAGUGAAAACUGGAGUUAGUUUUUGAAGUUGCCAAGAGAUGAUCUGGGAAUUAUUAAUAGUUAUGACUGGAUACAUCUCACAAGCAAAAGGGACUUGUAAAUGCUAUUGAAUCUUUGUUUGAGAGUGCGGAGCAUUGUACCCCUGGCUUUUACCAUAUGUUUAAUAGUGGUGACAGAUCCAAUACUCAACGAACAUCGGUAGCCACGCUUGUUGGAUCCAUCCGAAACAAUUUUAUUGUUGACAAUAAAUGAAAUUCUUAGAUUAUAUAUCUGAUAAUUCAUUUUAUUUUUGAACAUCUCUUGUAACUUUGUUAGAGCUUCUACAUCCAAAUUGGAAGUCUUAGGAUCGAAUCUCUUCUGAAGCAAUUUAUUGUGCAAUUUUUCUAGUUCAACAAUUUUUACCAAAACUAAUGCAAUAGAGAUGGGAUUCGAAACUAUAAGUCCUCUUUAAGAUUAUUGAAAGCUUGACCAUCAUGAAAUAUGUUGAAUUUUGACACCAAAUGUAACAGAUUAAUAAAUGCUCAAUUUUAGCGGUUUUAAUGCAAUUAGAAAGAUUCGAUCCUACUCUUCCUUUGAAUUAUAAAAACUUGGCCACUAUGUCAUAUAUAUAUACACACACACAUAGUUUUAGAAAAAAAUAAUUUGUUAUAUUUAAUUUUUAAUAUUUUGUCACCAAAGACGAUCAACGAUCAAUGGCUGCUCUUGCUCACUCAAAAUUAUGGAUCCACCACUGUUCGAUAGUACCCCUUGAACUUUAUCAUACGUUCCCCCAUACAAGUGGAUUACAAUGUGGAAUACACCUUUCACAUGAAUAAGUUUUGUGGAAUAUCUUCUUGAAUUUUAAGUUGUGUGAUAAUAGAUUUGGUGUUUAAGCCCCUUUUUGAUUCCCAUAUUUUUAAGAAUGCAUUUUUCCAAAAUUCAUUUUCAAUCAUACAUUAUUCUAUAAAAUAAUUAUACAGUAUUUCAAAAGCUUUUCCUUACUUUCUAACUACACAUUCUUCAAAACAUCACUAUUCCAUAAUACAUUUUAUCUCAAAAAUGAGAAUCAAACAGGGGUUAAAACAAAAAGGCAUUUUGAAAGUAGAGAUUGAGAAUAGUGAGAACUAAAAGUGGGUUUUGGAGUUGCUAAGAGAUGGUCUGGGAAUUGUUAAUAGUUACAAUUGGAUUUUCAUAUCCAACAAGCAAAAAGGACUUGUAAAUGUUAUUGAAUCUUUGUUUGAGCAUGCGGAGCAUCGUAGACAUCUAUGGCAUCUGUAUAAUAACACUAGUGCACAAUACAAGGCACUUGGCUUUGAAGAAUAUAUUAUGAGUUGUAGCAGAGCUACAAUGGAGAGUGCUUAGGUGACAGAAAUGAAUAAAAUGUGUGACAUUAAUCUGUUUGCUUACGGAUAGUUGCAGUUCAAGUUGACUGAGCAUUGUAGUAAAUCAUUUCAAAUGGGAGAAUAUAUGUUAUUAGGGGUGGCAAAUGGGUCGAGCGGCUCGCUAAAAUGGAGCUCGUGGGCGGCUCGGGCUCGUAAAAACACGAGCCGAGCGGGCCGGUUUGGUGGGGCUCGGCUUGCACAAAAAAAAGCCGCUUGCGGGCAACGAGCCACGAGCCCAAGCUCGUGGGCUCGUAUGAAAAUUUGAUCGAAACGGUCACAUUUUUUGAAAUGUGACCGUUUCAGUCACUUUAUGAAAGGACAGAACGGUAAAUGACUUUUUCUCAGUGACCAUUUCAGUCCCUCAUUUAUUUUUAUUUAUUUUUCUGUUUUUUGACCGUUUUGGUCCUUAAUUUUUUUUUCCUUUUUUUCUAUAAAUAGUGGCAUUUAGCCACAAUUUUUUUUACAAUUCUCUCAACUCUCAAUUAUCUUUCUCUCAAAUUUUUUGUAUUGUGUUGAUAACUUGCAAUUUUUAUAUACAAUUUAUACAAUAUCCAAUUCUCAUUUCUCAGUUCUCACUAUAUUUAUUGAAAUUUCAUCCAAUUUUCAUGUCUCACUACAUUUAUACAAUUAUUCUUCUACUAGUUGUUACUUAUUACAACUAAACAAAUGGAUCCACACUCAUUUGUCGAAAAUUUGUUCGGUGUGGGAGGAAAUGAAUCGUCUAUGAUACCGCAAAGUCAAUUUCAGACUCAAUUUGAAGGUCUAAAUGAUGUACGCCUAUCUGAAAAUAUUCCAGAUUUGGAUCUUUAUCAUCAUGUAAGCGACAAUCCAAAUUAUCCAAUUAAUUUGGAUGAUGUUGACGUUCCCGAAAAGGAACACGAUCAUGAAGAAGAGGCUGAAUUAAACAUUCCUGAUGCGAGAGGAAAGCAAAAGGGGAAAAAACAAGCAAAAUGUUGGGAUCACUUUAAGUUGAUUUCAACAGGAAAAAUCAUCAGUGGAGUCCAAGAAUCCAACAAAGAUUGGCAUGGCAAAGAGAAAUUGGUACCACCUAUCUCAACCGUCAUUACAAAGUAUGUGCGGCCAAACACGGACUUAUUCCAGGCUGUCAAACACAAUUACAAUUUGACAGUCCAGAAGCCGGUGGUUCUACUGCACCCCUAUCCACAUGGGUGUAUUCGGAAAAGAAAGCUCGAACCGAAAUGGUGAAACUUGUUGCUGGUGCUGAGUUGCCUUUGACAUUAAUUGACAACCAACACUACGUCUCGUAUGUGAAAAAAUAUCUGCAGCCAAGGUUCAUUGGGGUAAGUCGAAACACUCUUCGUUCUGAUACAAUACAGUAUUUUACUUCAACAAAACAACAAUUAAUUAUGGAUUUACAAAAAUAUGGGGGUGUCAUAUCUUUAACUUAAGAUAUAUGGGAGGGGAUUAAUAAAAGAGCAUAUAUAGCUGCAACUGCACAUUAUAUAGACCCACUUUGGUGCAUGCAUAAAAAAAUUAUUGCUUUUAGAAUUAUUGAGUUUCCUCACAACGCUAAUAAUAUAUUUAAUGCUAUUAUUAGUAUUGUUAGAGAAUAUUAUUGCGAAGGUAAAAUUCGUUCAUUUACUUUCGAUAAUACUAGUGAUAAUAAAGUAGUUGCUGAAAAAUUGUAUAGGGUACUACAACCUGAUUUUGGUGGAUAUUUGUUUCAUAUUCGUUGUGUAUGUCAUAUUUUGAAUUUAAUUGUUCAAGAUGGUUUAAAAUAUAUAAAGGAUGAACUUCAAAAUAUUAAGAACGUACUAAUAUAUAUUACAAUCUCUCCAAGUAGAAAACAAGUAUUUGAGGAUUAUUGUGCUGAAAUAGGAGUGCAUAAUGCUAAAACAUUUUUUAGCGACGUAGGUCAUAAGUGAAACUUUACUUACUUGUUAUUAAAGUCAUGUGAAGAUUUUGAACAUUUAAUAACUGACUUUUAUAACAAUAGACAUGUUAGAAGUGAUGACGAUGGUAUGUUGACUGAACUUGAUUGAUAUUUUGAAGUUAAAUUUUUUUUGACAUUUUUGUAUGAAACCACUAAGAUUUUAUCGGGCGUUUACUAUUCCACCAGCUGUGGUACAACUUUUUAGGUUGCAAACCCAAGUGCAGGUUGUCGCAAGUAGUAAAUCUCGAAAGUCCGAGGUCGAACCACAGGGAAUUGGAAGGAAAUAGACUAGUCUAUGAGUAGUAAACGGUUGGUGGAAAUACUACGAAGACGAACACUAGAGCGUCGGGGAUUCACUUCGGAUAAAUGAGUAGAAAUUGCCCUUGAUCUUUAAUUUAACUCAUAUGAAAAUCAAUUAAGGAGUGAUCUCAUAUGGAAGAUAAAACAUUAAUCACAAAUAUACUAAAAGAUAGAUCUUGACAAUUGUUUGAGAGAAUAUGUCAAAAUAAGUUGUUGGAAUGUAGAGAUUAUCUAAGCAUUUAUUGUACCAAAAUUGUCAACAAUAAAUCAAAGUCUUUAACAAAUCAAAACCAUUUGUAGAACAUAUACUUUAACCAAGUAAGAAGAUGAACAUUGAAGAACAAAAUAAAAUAUCAAAGACAAUACUAUGCAUUCACCAAAGUUUCACCCCUAACUCUACCUAAUGGUUUAGAAAUAUAUAAUGAAAUGUUACAAAGUAAAUGAAGGAAACUAGAAUAUGAUGGGAGAGGAAUUGAUGCUCUCAAAAUCGUGGCCAAGGUCCCCUUUUAUAAGCAAAGGAACAUCCAAAAUUCAAGUAGGCAAUGCAACUUGUUUCUGUCCAGCUUCAAGAUAGCUGGAAUAUGCAAUUUGAUGCCAAUUUUUAGAUACAUUGUGUAGCGAAUUUGGACUUAUGAUCAACAGAUAAAUUAUUUUCACUUGAGUUAGCUUUCCAUUGGUUCAAAUAUCAGGUUUAUUGGAUCUAUAUAACUCUAGAUAUGACAAAAACAAUGAGUGCUGCUUCACAAAUAAAGCUGUAUCCGGUAGGUAACAAGCUGGACUUUUCACGGUAAUUUUGGCUGCCUUGUGGUAUGAAUUUCACUUCUUCCAAAACAUAAAAGUUGUAGAAACAUGCCUUAUCUUUCCAAUCCAACUUGAAUCACCUUGGUUCAAUAAUUGAAGCUCAAGUUAUGAUCAUUUUACCGGCAGCUGCUUUUUACUUGAGACAGUCACUAUUCUUGACUUUUCAACAUUAUUUUCCUCCACUUAUUCUAAAUUAGAAAUACAUGUGAAAUAUAUCAAAUAUAUACUCUUUCAAAUGUAUAUUACUCAUUCCGACAUGUAUGUAAAUACGUAUUUCAAUUAAUUGCAUUUUUAACCAUGUAUUUAUGAAAAUUGAAUUUACGACAAGAGAAUUGAAAUUAGAGACUAACAUUAGUGUUUUUAAACAAAGUGAAUGUAAAAUGCUUGUAAAUGAUAUAUCUUUGAAACACUUUUAGACAGUAAUCAAGUUGUAUGGUGCUUGAACGUCUUUAUAUAAUUGCAAGAACAUUUCAUAAAUACAGAAAUGACCCUGAUUUUAAUGAAAUUAUAAUUGCUAUGGAAUUAAAAUUUAGAAAAUAUUGAGAAGAUUUGCCUAUGUUAUUUCUUUUAGCAUGCGUGAUGGACCCCCGAUAUAAUUUAUCGGGAACUAAAUAUAUAAUUGAUCAAAUUUCAAAUGCCUUAACAUUUGAUACACCUAUCACUUAUAGAAAUUUAGAGCAAACAUUAUGUGAAAUGUAUGAAUUAUAUGCGAACCGAAUGGGUACCAAUAUUAGUCGGGUACCAUCUGCACCUACUCCUUCCACUGAAAUUGAAGAAGAAGAUCCGAAAAUAUUUAAUUUAUUUCAAGACAUUAAUUCGUAUAGAUUUGAUUCAUCUGCAAUGUGUUUUUCUACUACCACUGCCACUGCCAUGUCAUCACCAUCUAUAUUUCAUUCUCAUCAUACAUCUACGGGCUCAAGCCAUAAUGCAUUGUCUGCUGAAUUAAUUGAUUAUUUCAACCAGAAUAUGCCAACAGAUGAAACAAUUAAAAAAAGUUCAGACGAAGUAAUUGAAUUCUGGCGAAGGUAUGAACGAUGUUGGCCAGUUAUAUCUGCAAUUGCAAAAGAUCUGCUGACACCUCCGGUUAGCACUAUUGUUUCGGAGUCUGAUUUUAAUGCAGGUAAAAGAGGUUUGAGCGAGGUCAGGAGUCGACUGAAAGAAGAUAUUUUAGAAGUCUUAAUGUGCGUUAAGGAUUGACAGGAUGCUCAUUUUCGACUACAAGAUAAAUAUGCCGAAAUUGCAUGUCGUCAAGUAAGUGAUAUUUGAUUUAAUUAUAUUGUUGAAACUUUUCUUUUCGUAUCGUUACUUUUAAUUUUCUUUAAAAAAUUGUACAUGCUCCAAAAAAUUGUUCGUAUACAAUUUUUAACUCCCCCUACUAAAAAUUUAAAUAGUCGGUUCCAAGCCCAGAUGAAGGAGGUGGGUUUAUAUUUUAUCUAUUUUAAAAAGAAAAAUAAAAAAAAUAAAGCUUUCAUAAUUAUUUUUUCUAUCUCUUUUAAUUAAAAAAAAUUACUUUUUUAUUUUUCAAAUUAUCUAUUUGUUCUAAAAAAAAUUAAAUUAAAUUAAAUUAAAAACGACGUCUACUCGCGAGCCGCGAGCUCGUGGGCCGAGCCGAGCUCGCCCUUUUUUGGACGAGUCGAGCUCGUGGUUUCAUGGGCCAAGCCAAGAUCGGCUCGGCUCGGCUCGGCUCGGCGCAUUGACAUCCCUAUAUGUUAUAUGAUUUUCAAUAAUCUAUAUAAGUCAUUCAACGGGACAAUCUUGAGUGCAUGGGAAAAGCCCAUUUUGACAAUGUUAGAGAAAAUCUGAAUGUACUUGAUGCAAAGAAUUGUGGUAGGGAAGAGGCAUGCAAAAAAAUGAAGUAGAAAGGUUAGUCCGAGAAUGAUGAAGAUCAUUUGGAGAAAUACCACACUUUCAAGGGUUGAAUAUGUUGAUUAACCGGGAAACCACAAAUCUCAAUUACGCCACAAUGCAAACCAAACUCUAAGGCAGAUUACGCGAUUACAAGGACAUAUUCAUGUCGAUUGUGACAAUUGACAGGUAUACCUUGCAGCCACGUAAUUGUGGCACCACUUUCUGUUGGAAAAGAUCGGAACAAUAUAAUGCAGAAAUAUAAAACUUAUCGUCCGAUCGAAUCUCGUGAUAGUACGACGUCUUAAAGUGAAAUUGUCCGUCAAUAAUUGCUGCGACCUCCGUGGACAAUCACUUGCAGGAUACAAUGAUCGUAAACCACUUGUGCAGCAAUCACGAAUGAUUUUUCUAGAACUCUCAAUUGUACUCCAAAAUAAAUGUAAAAACCCGAAUAUAAGAAAUUCAGAAUAUGAAAAGGAGGGUUGAUGCAAGAUGAUAUUUCUAUUGUCUUUUUGUAUGUAUUUUUCCCAAAACGAGAUAUGAAUUUAUAUAUGCAAGAUGGUAGUAACAGUCUUCACCAUGUUAAUGCAGAAUUUUAAUGACUGAGUAAAAAAAAAAUAUUUAUUUUAGUCAAGGAAGCCCAAAAGCUCAAGGCUCCAAGGCCCCAAUCAAGACAUUUUAAUAUCUGCGUGGGGAGUGAUUUGAACCCUAACGUCCCACACAAAUGUCACAUUUCUUACCACUUUGGCACUUUAUCUAAUUUGAUUAUUUCUUUCACAUUUUAUAUUUAUACCAUAAAUAUAUAACACUUUCAUGGGGCAUCCAAUCUGUUAGAGAUUAUGUCGAUGAAGCUUGUAAUAAGGAAGCAUAUAUUUGAAUGUAUACACUAAUGAUAUCCCCAAUCAUAGGUCCAAAUACAUGGCCAAAUCCUGCAUUAAAUCCGUAGACACCUUCGUUAUACAUGAAAAAGUCUAAGAGACUGAAGAAUAAAUGAAGACAGGAAGCAAAUGAAGCACCAAUGCCGACCAACAUCAUGACCUCUAUUAAUAUAGGCCAUCAAGGAAAGGAAUUGUAAUGAGGUGUUUCCUUUGUGGUGAUGCUGGGCACAACAAAAGAUGUAAAGGCCGAGAACCACCUGCUGCAAAUUGAAAAAUGAGUCUCGAGUUCGAUGUAAUAUGAAUAGUGUGAUGUUCAAGAUGUUUUCUUAUUUUUUCUACUGUUCGUUUCUUUGGUUUUUAUGGGUUGAACAUAUUAUUUAGUUAGGGUUAGUUUGCACAAGCUUCUUAAUUCCAAAGAUGUAUUGUGUGCAAACUUAGUGAAUUACAGGGUUAAAAUGCACAAGGUUUAAAUAUAGAGGGUUGUAUUGCACAAUGUUUUUACAUUUUCAGGGUUAUUUUAUGCAACCUUUCCCAUUUUAGGGGAUUGUCGCACUAAGUUUUGAACACAAACAUUGUAAUUGUAUUGUCCAAUACCUAUGACUACCCUAAAAAAGAAGAGGAAAAAUAGAGAAAAUUGGAAUAUUUCAUUGCGCACCAUUCAUUAUAGAAUUUCUACAUGAUUCCACAUUUACUAACAUCCAUUCAUUACACAAAUCAACAAGGCUAUUGAAGCUCUAUUUUCUACCAAAAGGUUAACAUCACAAUACAUCCACACAAAAACCCAAAAAAUCAAGACCUAAAUCCAAAAGUAUUUUUUUGCCUCUGCAAUUUCAGGACCUAUUUUUUGUGAGCAGUUCUGGAUCUUUGCACUCCAGGUAUUAUCUCUACAGAUCUACGACACAUAGAUGGGUCAUACCAUUAGAAAAACCUACAACCUCCAUCAGCAAUACACCGUACUAACAAAAAAAUGAAAUGGGGUUUAGGAUUUCCUUUACCAUGUGUUGUGUGCAUGUCAAGAACCUUCUUGACGGGUUGGCUUGUGUUCAUGAAGUCUUCUGCCCAAUCUUCAUUCCAUUCCAACAUAGACGAGACUCCAUUGCUACUAAAGAUAAAGUGGAUUAUUGACAAAAAAAUACUUUUACAUACUUUAUAUAUACUCCUACUCCAUGCAAUCAGGACCUUAUUAAAGAGGUGAACAAGAAAAGACGAUUUUACCAUUUUCAAUUUUUUCAUUUUAGCUCUCUUUAUUUGAAUUAAUGGCAGAAUUAAAGGGUGUGCAUGGUAGGGAAUGGAUAUAACGACAAAUUUCAUACAGGGGGUUUUCCAUCAAUUUGAAAAGAUCAGGGGUAUUUGUCAAUGGUCCACACAUUGUGAUAAGUGUAGUUUCUACACUUACUCAAGGUCCUAAAAGAUGAUAUUUUACUAUUUUUGGAUCAAAUGCUACUUAACUUGUGUUAUAUUACAUUUUAUAGGUAAAACUCAAUGUUUGAUGAAAAAAUGGAGAAAAGAAUGUAAAAAUUGUGAGAAAAGGCAAAAUCCAAAAGUCGAGAACUAAAUUGUAAAAAAUUCAUAGAUGAGAGGGCGACGAAAUCAACUGGAAGAAAAAGGAACAAGACUACAAGAGAAAAGGGCUGAAAUGAAACAAAUCCAAAGUUUAGAGGUAAAAGUACAAAUACUCAAAAGUUGUGUCGAAUCUCAUGAUGAAGAUUUGAGAGUUUUAAAGGUCAAUUGUAUGAGAUAAGAAGCUAAAAUGUUGAAAUAUAUUCAAAGUAUUAUCACAAAUCAAUUUACAGCCGAAAAAGUUAUGCUUCGAAUUUUUAGCCUCAAUUUGAGACCAAUUUUUAGGAAAGCAAACGUUCGAAUUAAAAAAAUUGUAUUUUUAGAAUAAUUAUAGCUCUUUGAAUUAGCUUUCUAACGUACUUUGAAUCACAUUAAUCGAGGAGAGAAGGAUAUGACCAAAGUAUUGAAAGUUGUCGACGAAAAAAGUAUAUAUAUGCGGUUGCAUAUGGUUAAUUCAAUGCGAUUGCAUUCAUGCCUUUAGUGCUUUUGAGACCUGUUAUGAUUUCUUCUAUACGGCUCCUUCCAUUUAUACUAUGUGACUGCAUAGUAGUUUUCCUAGGCAAGAUUUUGUUUCCUUUUCCAAUUGAAACUCUACUCUGGUGACAAUUUUUUAGAUAUCUUUUAAAUACCAUAAUCCGUCUAAAAUGUGGGAGACCUAAUUUUUAUCAUUGAGAGUUGACUUUUGAGGGAAACUGAAGAGAAUAUACAUCGAAGAAUGAAUAAUUCAUCGCUUGGAUCCGAAUUUGAAGGCGUCGAUGGAAGAUUUCCAAAUUUUCUUCUUAGUUUAAUGAUUCGGGUGAUGACUUUCUUUUAUUUUCCUUGUACUGUUUACAUUAAUAUGUUAGGCUAAAAUCCUUUAUAUUUGAUGGAUGACAAAACUCUUUAAUUCUUAGUUUUUAAUUCGAGACUUUGUGUUUUUAUCUUAAUUCUUGUAUUGUGAUUCCAUUAAUAUGCAUAAUGACAUUGUUUUAAUGUUUGUGCAUCAUUAGGAUAAUAAGUUGCUUAUUUGUAGCCUUGAAAAAUUCACGGUAGGCAGAACACUAUUUAUGGAAUAUACGGGCAAUAAAUAUUAGAAAUAGUAUUUAUGGUGCCACACGGAGGCGAAAAAGGAAAGAAGGAUGGGGUUUCUUUCGCUUUUGGCAUAGCGGGCCCCCAGAGGGAGAGCCCAAUAAGGAAAGGGAUAAUUUCUAACAAAGUUUUCGUACCCACAGGUCAUGAGCUCUUUUCUUGGAGAAGAAGCAACGAUAGUAUCUGGGGAAUAAGUAUCGACUAACUCUGUGUCAGCACUCGCGGUAAGACAGAGGAUGCAUCUAGUCAAUAUCUAAUAUCACAUAUACAUGUCUUGUUCCUGAAUUUGUCUCUUUCAUUAUUUUAGAUUUAUGCUCUACUCCGAGUAAAGAUCUGCCCGUUUGUUCAUGGAUUAAUGAAAAUGUACAAAAAGCUCUAUUUGCCUCUGCCAUUUUAUGAGUCUCCUCCUUUUUAUGUAAUAAUCCUAAACACAGUGGCGGAGCCAGGAUAUUAGUUCAGUACAGGCAAAAAACUUUCGACGUCGAACGUCGAGGUCUUUAUCAUGGGUAAAAAAAUAAACAAUAUUACAAUAAAUAUUAAAAAUAAUAUAAUUUAUAUAUUAAACUUGUUCCUUGCGAGUUCUCAUACUUUGGAUUUAAACAUUUGAUAUCCAAUUACUACUGGGAGUGUGAGCAAUUCUAUAAGGCAAAGUAAAGCAAUUCACAGGACAAUUCUAUUCACAUAGCAAUACCAAUACUAUAAGCAAUUCACAUUUUACAGGGCAACAAGCCAACACAUCAUCAAUUCACAGAUUUACAAGGCAAUAAAUACUAUUUCAAAAUUCUUGUGAUAGCGAGUAAGCAACUCACAAUGUUAGUAGUGGCAGUGCUGGUUCCAGUUCAAGCAAUUGAAGAGCUGCUAAUUUCUUAUGUUAAAAACAAAAACAAAAAAAUAAAUAUUAUUACAAUACACACAAAUCAGAAUAACAAAAAAUAACUAAAAAAAGCUUCAAAAUGACAAAAUUAGGGUUGGUGGAAUUAGGAAAUUGGGGCUUCACCUUUAGACGAAUCAGACCUUCUUCUUCUACUGUGUUGGUUAUCGAUUCCGCCAAAAAAAUCGUCGGAGCCGCAGAGGUUACAGAGCAACGCUGCAAGCCUACAACGAAGGUUAUGAACCUUACGAUCUUAACUUCUACGGAGAAAGAAGUCUAUCUAGCUUCAGAAGGAGAAGGUUGAGGCUAAGGCUCUAAGCGGCGGCGGUGUCAAAGUAGGCUGUGGGUGGACGGAGUCGCGGAUGGUUGAAAAAUGAAAAUCAAAUUGGAAAUUUGGAAUUGAUUCAAUUGAAUGGGAAUGGGCUGCAUUUUGUAAAUGAGUCAUGGGUGCAUCAUGUUGGGUUAAUGGGCUAGUGGGCUUCGCUGGGCAGGAGGGAAUUAAGAAUUAAAAAGAAUUUGGGCCAUGGGAUUGGGACCAAAAGUUUAGUGCGGCAACUGGACUUCACUGGGCUCUGUCCUUACUUAAAUAUCAAUGCAUGUUUGUCAUAUGAAUUUAUACUAUGAAUAAGAUCGUCUCGUGGUAAUCAUAAGUUUAUUAUAUCUUGGAAAAUAAUAGUAAAUAAAAGUGGAAUUAAUGAUCGUCACAAUUGCAUGAAUUAAGUUAAUUAUCAAAUUUGUUUUUAGCAUAACUUUUUCUUUCGAUCUCCAAUUGAGGUGAUUCAAAGCUUGUUAGAAAACUAACUCAAAGGGCUACAAAUUUUUUUCUGACAUAAUUCUUCAACUCGAUCAUUUAUAUGAUAAAAAUGGGUCUCAAUAUGAGACUAAAACUCCGGAGCAUAACUUUUGGGUUCAAAAUUGAUUUGUGAUUAUAUUUUGAUUAAAUUUGAUUUCUUUGACAUCUCUCUUCAUCCAAUUGACUCCUAGCACCCUCGAAUCUUCACCCUGAGAUUCGAAACAAGUUUUGAUUAUUUGUAUUUUAGUCCCCGAACUUUGGAUCUCUUAUAAUUUGGCCAAUUUUUCCAACAUUUGCUUAUUUCCUUCAAUUAUUACAACAUCAAAACACACAUUAAAACUCUCUAAAACACUCUCAAGAAUAAUAAAAUAAUGAAUUAAGAGGCAUAAAUAUCAUGAGUAUAGAGUACUUAUUAAAUAUCCCCAAACUCAAUAUUUUGUUUGUCUUCGAGCAAACACCAAACUAAUGAAAAUCACUAGCAGAAGCUCAAACUCUAUUAAAACCAACAAAAUAACAUAAGAUAAAAUUCGCUAGAUAUCUUGCCUUCAUAGCUCAGGAUUGUAAACAUAACAUCAAUUUCAUGAAUUACUUCAAAGUCUUGUGUAUAAGCUAAAGUCUCACCUAUUCAAUGCAAAACGAGAGUGUUUGUGGAGAAUUAAAUGCAACACUUUACAAUUAUAAGUUGAUUCAAUUUUCGACCUUAAAAGUCAAAUAUUUUCUUACUUUCCUCGUGGGAUUCAUGUACUCCCAAACUUGUUUUCUUUUUCACUUCCCAAUAUGUAUUCUAGAGUUGAUUUCCAAUACUAAUUUCUUACACCACUCACGUUUGAGUAGAUUUUACUUAUUGUAGUUCAACAUAUCAAUAAAUGAGGAAUCUCCUUAAUUUUUUCACUGUUUCAAUGUCAAAGAAUCAACUAAGUUACUUAAAUUCUUGUCAAAAGUCUAAUCCUCUCCAACAAGUGUUUGGGGAUUAAUCAAGGCAUGUGAUGUCCAUAUUUUUUUCAGAUAUAAUUUUAUUCUUUUAAUCAUUCUUUGUGUGAAUGUCUCUCCAUUAAGCUUUCUAAAUGACUCAUGUAACGAAUUUUAGGUCGAUGACUCCCAAAUCAGAUGAUUUUAGGGCAUUAGGUUUUAAACCUUUGUAGGCUUUAUCAUUCGAAUCAUAAAGGCUACGAAGAGACGAUUCACAUGCGAUUAUUAUGAUUAUCCUCAUUGGGAUCUUUUUGGGUAGAUUUAUAAAAGGUAGCUUUUUCCCUUUUAUGCAGUGAUUAGUGCAAUGCCCCUUAUUAAACACUCAUUCUAAAAAAUCGACCUUUACUUAAGAUUUUCACCCAAUUUUCAUCCUAUUGGUCUCAUGCAGUCCACACAAAAUUUAGCACACAUAAAAUCCACAUUUACAUCUAUGUCUCUCUACAACUGCUCAACCAUCCAAACAUCCUAGUUUUGGUUUAAGGGCAUAAUGAUGUUUAAUGGUUGUUUGGAUUUAACAUCUAAGUUCUCUAUUUCAACAUAUAAACAUGAAUCAACAUACUCAUACACUACGCUACAGUUAACUCACGUAUAAAUAUAUUUUUCAUUUCACAUGAAUGGGUAAAAAUUUAACUUGAACACAUAACUCAUCCACAAUUCAUAAAUCGAUGCAUGUUCCUAAUAAUAUGCAUCAUUGUUGGCAAGGUAUCUAGCUCGCACAAGCAUGCAAAACACAAUUUUUUUAAGUUGCACACAAAUCACACAAAAUAAAAAAUAAAUAAAAUUAGGUAAUUAAACAAUCUAUGAUGUACCUCCAAAUUUAAACUAAACAUUGUCCCCAAUGUUAAAAUAAAAUAAAAAGAUGAGAACUUCUGUGAAUUAUCUGAAUUGCCAUUGACGGUCUGGUGCUAUGAUGCUAGAUUUGAUUGAUGUUUUUUCUAGCCUGUCUCCCAAACUUGAGAUUUAUUUCGCUUUCUCCACAUCAAUGUUGGUUUAAAUAUUUCGUGGCGUCAUGUUCCUGAAAAGUCACAAUUUAGAUACUAAGCACAUGGAACAUGUGGUACUUAGCUCAAAUAUUUAAUAACUAACUUAAUUACUCAAAGACCUAAUGGAAAACGGGAUAUGGAUGUUGGUUCCUAAAUAAACUAAAUUAUCCUAUAAAUCAAAAACACAAUAAAUAAAUAAAAGAAAGCUUAGGUUGCCUCUCAAGAAGUGCUUGUUUAUAGUCAUUAGCUUGACUUUGGCAAUUGCAUUAUGGAACUUUGAAGAAAGCUUUUGAUGCCUUGCUCAUUUAGCUUCUUUUGCCUUUGCUCUACUUUUCGUUGUUUUUCCAAAUUCUAACAUUGCCUCCUCCAAUGUGAUAUGACUUGCCUAUUCUAUCCGAUUCGAAUUCAACUAUAUAGACUUCUUGUUCCUCCUCAAGCUUAAUCACAAAUUCAAUUGUUGGACAAUUAAUGAAGUCAAAAUAGAAUGUGAUAAUUUUAUCUUCAUUAAUUGCUACUUCAUUUGGUUCCGUAGUGAAUUUGUCAUCCUCUUUAUGCUCUUCUUGAAUAGUUGAUAAUUCCUUGGGUUGAAUAGUCGAUUCACGGUCAAAUCUGAGGGUAAUGGUAGCUUUUUCUUUUCGACCCCUUCAAGUGUGUUAUAUUUCCACCUUUUGAAUUCAUUCCAGUGACUCCAAUCUCCAAUACAUCUGUUGCACUCUUCUACUUUGGCAAGUGUAUUAUAGUACUUUGCAAUUACCCCCUCAUUCAAUAGAGGAGGUCCAUUUUCCACAAGUAUGAUGUCCUCAUCCCAAUCGACAGGUACAUAAUCUCCCAAAGGCAUAUAAUCUUCAACAGAUUUUUCAAUUGUUUCUUUUUGACAUCUUAAAUAUUCUAGGAAUCCUAGAAGCGUUACCGUACGGGGGUCGAUAUGUCUAUGUAAACAUUGCAGUGUAAUGCAUACCAUAGCAAAGUUGACAAAAGAUAUCUUCUACAAGCAUGUAAUUUGUAUGCAUGUCGAGAUUACUUAUUUCAAUUACUCUACUGUCUUUCCAAUGUUGGAAUUAGCAUAUAAUAUAGAGUAAUAACUGAAAAAAUACCAAAGAGAUCAAAGUGGGUAGCCAAAAUUAAUAAAUUAAAUAAAAUCUAAAUUAAAAUAAAAGCUACUUGGUAAUAAUAUUAACCAAUCCCCAGCAACAACGUCAAAAACUUGUCACACAUUUUCCAUAAUGUGAUUAUACCGCAAGUAUACGGUGUCAAGUUUUGUAAUAUAGUAAAAGUGUAAAAAGUGUCGAACCCAGAGGGAUUAUAAUUCAUUUUUUACUAAGUACUAUAAUUAUAUAGCUUCUGCUUUAUCUAGGUAAAUGAAUUUUUAGAAUCAAUAUUUCUAAACUAAAUUAACAUAAUGAAUGUGGUGACAAAUUCAACAAAUAAAUGCAAGUUAUAAGAAUAAUCAAGAUGAGAAAACCUAGGAUUGUGAUUUCACCUUACUAUCAAAUAUGAUUUUCAAAAGUUUAGUUAUCUCUAAUCAAUUUUUCAAGUUUAUAAGCAAGAACUUAAUUGAAUUUCCAUCCCCUCUCUCGAGUGCUGGCUAGAAAAUAUUCCUAGAAAUUAAUCUCAAUAUCUCUAUUCUGAAUUAAAGUCAAAGAAUUAUUUAGAUCGUAGUUCUUAGAUGGAUCAUACUUUAAAGAAUUUAUACUUUCUCUCGAAACCCAUAAGUUCUAAGUUGUAUUAAUCUUAUGAUCGCGCCUGAAUUCCCCUCUCUCAAGUACCGAAAUUGACUAGCAUUUAUUCAUUCAAUUAGUUGCCAAUUAAUUGAAAGCAUUAAAAUCAUAUCACAAAUAAACACAUAUAAAAAAUCAAAUAGAAAUAACUAAAAUUAAUCAAUUCAUAUUCGCAUUUUUUUGGUAACAUCCAAACUCUAGAUUAAAUGUUUAGUUCAUGAUGGAAGAAUUAAAUUUAAACAUAUUGAUGGAUAACAUAAAGAGGAAAAGAAACAAAAACUCCUUUGAAGCUUUUAAUUGGAAUUUCCUUUUAUGUUCUUCAUGGCUCCUUGCUUGAUUCCUUGAUGUUAGUAUCCUUGCCCUUGAUGAAUUGUGUGUUGAAUUGUCUUCAAUCUUGCCCCCUUCAAAUCCCCCUAGAAAAUAGGUAUUUUGAAUAGUAUUUAUAAAAUCUUGAAAUUCUUGGAUGAAUUAGGGUUGAGUUGGGCUAAUAAAAGAGUCCAAAAAUAUAUUUAAAAAAAAAAACAUUUUUCCCACAUAGCCGGUACCUCGGCACCCAAUAUGGGCGUUGUGGCGUCACACUCAUUUUUAUUUUUAGAAUCAUGGGUGCCACAGCGCCUGGUUAAUCCGAAAAGACAGAUUGUGCGUCCUUCAAUAUUUUUAGCACAACAUUUUCUCCUAAUAUCCGAUUGAGGUGAUUCAAAGCUUGUUAGAAACUUAACUCAAAGUACUACAAUGUUUCUUCAAACAUCAUUCUUCAACUCGGUCAUUUUCUAUGACAAAAAUGGGUCUCAAUAUGAGACUAAACUCCGGAGCAUAAUUGUUGAGCUCUUUAGGAGUUCUAAUUAAAUUUAAAUCAUUAAUAUAAAUUGCCACAAUUGUAAAUCUAAUAUAUGUUUUCUUUAUGGAAACAAAUGGGAUACAUCAUUAUUUUUAUAAUUAUCCUUCAACAAAUAUUCGCUAAGGCGAUUAUAUCACAUGCGUCCAGAUCAUUUCAAUCCAUAUAAUGAUCGUUGAAAUUUAAUUAAGAACAAGAUUCUUGGGCAUGUAACAUUUGUUUCUGGCACUAUCAAGUGAAUCAUACAAAUAGGUAGUUACUACAUCCAUAAGGCGCAUAUUAAGCUUUUGUCACACAGUCAAACUAAUUAGGAAUCAAUUUAUGAUUUUUGUGAGAAACCUUAAGCUACGGGUCGGGCUUUGUGUCUUGUAAUUUCAUUAUUUUCAUUUCUCUUUCGUAUAGAAAUUCAUUUAUACACAAUAAGGAUUACAUUUUCGGGCGUUCGAACUACAUGUUCAAACACUUUUUGUUUCUCUAAGAAAUUCAAUUCUGCCCAUAUAACUUCUUUCCAUUUUGACUAAUCAUUUCUAUUUGGAUAGUUUUUAACAGAUUGUGGUUCAAGAUCCUCUUUUUCUAUAAUAUCAAGAGCUACGGUAAAUGCAAAAGUAUUAUCUAUAACAAUAUUAUUCCGUUCCAUAAUUUAUGAGAUAACAUAUAAUCUAUUGAAAUCUCAUUAUUUUUGAACACUUGUAGUUUUUGAGGAUUCGUAUUUUUAAUAUUUGAUUGAUCAAUCUUUCCUAAUGUGAAUUUUUUUGAAAUUUUUGGUUGGUUUUUCUCUUUCAUUUUUCUUUUCGAGAUACGUAGUCUUGACUAUGCUUCUAGCAUAUUUGAGAUUCAUUUAUUACAGCAAAUUAUCUCACAAGGAUAUCAAUUUUUGCUGGAACAUUUUCUAUUGGAAUAUAUGAAUUUGUCGCUUUUCUUGUGUCAACAAACACAUCAGGUAAUUAAUUUGUAACUUGUUGCAAACGAAUGAUUUUUUAAACAUUUUGCUCACGUUGAUUGUUGUGGAGAUCAAAAUGAGAUAGAGUUGUUUUAUUCCAAAAAUUUUUACCUUAUUUUCCAGGAUGUUGUUUUUCCCCUCCAAAAGUUAGGAAACUCAUUUUAUCAAAAUGACAAUCUGAAGAACGUGUAGUAAAUAAAUGACCAGUUAAAAUUUCAAGAUACCUAAUAAUUGAUGGCGAAUCAAAACCACAUAAAUUUCAAGUCUUUGUUGAUGACGCAUUCUAGUACGUUGUGGGGUGAAAUAGGGACUUGGAUAGCACAACCAAAAAUCCGUAGGCAAGAAAUAUUAGGUUCAUAACCAAAUUCCAAUUGCAAAGAUGAAUAUUGAUAAUAGACAUUUGGUUUAAUACAAACUAAUGAUACAGCGUAUAAUAUAGCAUGACCCCAAAUAGAACCUGGAAGUUUUGUUUUCAUAAGUAAUGGUCUAGCAAUAAAUUUUAACUGUUCAAUAAACGACUCCGCUAAACCAUUUUAUGGAUGGAUAUGUGUAACCGAAUGUUUACUUACUAUCCCAAUUGACAUGCAAUAAUCAUCAAAUGCCUGUGACCUAAAUUCACCAGUAUUGUCAAGAUGAAUAGUCUUGAUUGAGUGAUCGAGAAAUUGUACAAGUAAUUUUAUGAUUUGAGCAAAUAGUCUAGCAAAUGCUUCAUUUUUAGUAGAAAGUAAGCAAAUAUGUGACCAUCUAAUAGAAUAAUUAAUUAAUAUCAUAAAAUAAUGAAAUGAUCCACAUGAUGGGUGUAUUGUCCCACGUAUAUAUCAACGAAUUCUUUUCAAGAAAAUUGAAGAUUUAAUAUUAAUCUUUGUAGUCGAAUGUCUAAUAACUAACUAACCUUACGAACAAGUUACACAUGGAUAAUCAUUAGAUAAAAGAAUAUUCUUGUUCUUUAAAUAUCCAUGUGAGUGGUAAUCAUUAGGUAAAAGAAUCUUCUCGUUCUUUAAAUAUCCAUUUGAGUUGUUAUUAUUCAAUGCAUCAUUUUAGCUCUUGAAUAUCUAAGUUGAUCAUACCAAAUUAUGAAACUUUUUGGGUCAACAAGCUUCUGGUUCAUAACAUUAUUUGAUUGAAUCAUUUUUAUAAAUGUAUAAUACAUGCUAAAUGGGAGUGCAUGAAAAUUUUCUUUUAUCUGCUUUUUGCCAGAUACAAAAGAUGUUAUGCAAAAAUAUUCAACAUUAUUUCCUUGUAUCGUCUCAAUGUGACAGUGAUAUCCAUUGUAGCGAAUAUCUUUAAAACUAAGCAAAUUUGUUAUGAAUUUGUUAUAUUAAAAAGUAUCGUUAAUAAAUAAUUUUGUAUUAUUUGGUAAAAUAAUACAACCUCUUCCCGAGCCUUAAAAAAUAUUCAAUUCACCUGAUAUCGUAUUAACAUUAUUUUCUACUAAUGUUAAGUCAAAAAGUAUUUUUUGUCUUAAAGAAUAAUAUGUGGUUGCACUAUCAAUCAAACAAAUGUCUUGACAACCCAUCAUGAAUCUAUAAAUAUAACAAAAUAAAUAUAUUUAAAAAAGAUCUUGAAUUUAAAUUCAAAAAUGGUAAACAUAAUUGAAUACUGUGAAAGUAACAAUGCAUAAUAAAGUUUCAAUUUUUUUUGCUAGAAGUAGAAAAUAUAUUUCAAUUUAAAUUUCUAAAAUAAAGGAAAAUACUAGAAAUAUAAAUAAACUAAUCUAUAUCUACCGUCACACCACCAUUAAUCAAAUGGUCAAUAUUUCCAUUUGGAUCGGUAAAGAAAUCGAAGAUAUCUAAAUGAGUCACAUCAAUUGGACCAUCAUAAUCAGCAAGAUUUAUCUCCACUUUUCCUUUUUUCUUGAUUGAUUUUUGGUAAAGAUCCACAAGAUGUUUUGUCGUACCACAGGUACUUGCCCAAUGUCAUUUCAUUCCACAUCUGAAGCAACUUUCUUCGUGCUCCUUUUUAGAUGUGCUAUUUUCGUUUGUUUUGUACCUUUUGAAAUUAUUACUUUAUCGUUUACAACUUUGUUGAUUAUUUCUUCCAUGAUUUAUUUCACGUGCACAUCCGUGUCCAUGUCCAAGUCCACGUUUUUUGUCCUUAUUUUGAUAUUGCAUUUACUUCAUACAAUGUAAUACCAUUUACUUCAAGCAAUGGUACAGAACCAAUUAGACGUAACCCAUGAUUUUUCAUCAACAGUUCAUUAUUUUGUUUAGCAACUAGCAAGUAAGAUAUAAGUUUUAAGUACUUUUUGAAACCACGCUCACGAUAUUGCUACUAUAGGAGCACAUUCGAGGCGUGAAAUGUGGAAAAAGUUUCUCGAACAUAUCUUCUCAUAUGUGAUUUUUUCUCCACACAAAAUUAACUUUGAACAUAUUAUGAACAGUUUAGAAUUGUACUCACUAACAGUUUUAAAGUCUUGAAAAUGAAGGUACAUCUACUCAUAACGGACUUUGGAUAGGACUAUAGUCCUCUAAUGAUCAAAUUUUUCAGUUAACUUUUUUCAAAUAACCCGUGGAUCUUUCUCAGUGAGAUAUUUAAUUUUCAAUCCAUCGUGAAAAUGGUGAUGAAGAAAUGUGAGUGCUUUUGCGCAAUCUUGUAGGGAUUCAUUGUUUCCUUCUUUUAUUGUCUCUCCCAAACAUUUUGAGACAAAAUGAAUAUCAUAAUCGAAUAUCCAUGAUGGAUAAUUUUUGUCAAAUAUGUCAGGCGCAGUAAACUCAAAUUUUGUGAUUUUGUCAUUUGAUUAACUACACAAUAAAACAAAAGAAAAUACAAUUAUUUUCGAAGAAUAUAAUUAAACAUCACAUAAUAGUUAAUCAAAUAGUCAAUAUCAACAUGCCAUAAUUUAUGUGUGUUUCCUUUAGAGAUAAUCACUAAUUCUAAAUAAUAUUUCUUCAAAACAUGUGCUAUUUCGAUAGCACGUUGUAUUUUACUCUUACUUAUUCAAGAACAAUAUGUCAAUAUUUUUCUAGAAUAUUGAAAAAAAAUAUAAUUCAUUCUCUUCAUGAGCAAAUAAUAUUAUUCAAGAAUAUUAAUUAUAAUAUUGUUUUAUUUCAGAAGCAACAACAAACUAUUUAUAAUAGAUAAAUCAAUGAUUAAUAUUCUUUAGGAAUAUUAAUUGUGUUACUUUAAGAGCAAUAACAACUAUUCAUAAUAGACAGGUUCAUAAGUAUAAAAUUAAUAAAUUUUAAUAUAUGUGCAAAAGAAUGAGAACAUGAUAAUUAUUCAAAUGAUAAAAAUAAAUAAAUAAUGCUUAUGUAAUACAUCUAACAUACAGUGAACAAUUCAUAAUGGAAUUGAAAAAGUUAUUAAUAAAAGAAGAUUUGAAACACAGCACGAUAUGCAAUAAACAAUUUUGAUUGGCAUUGAAAAGAUUUUUAUGUAGUUCAAAUUAUGAAUUAUACAUUUAAUAGACUAAAUUUUUGAAUAAAAGUACAAUUAUACACGUAGCAUAUAAUUUUAAAAUAUUAUAUAGUUUUACAGUGUGGUGAAAAGAAAAUUUAAUGGCAUACGAAAACACGUGUUCAUUGUAAUGGAUAACAAUUUGGACAAACUUCACAAUGAUUGCAAACAUGAUGGCCCAAAUUAAUGCUUACAAAUGGAAACAUAUGUAGUAAACAAACUGAUAAAUACAUUCCACCAACGCCAAGUACAAGAAACUGAUUACAUGUACAAUUUUACAUUCAAAUUUUGGCAAAAAAACACAUGUUAUUUGCAGGUAGAAAAAUACAUACUAUCAAAUUAGUUUUGGUACAUGUGAAAGAUGAUUGUAAUUGUAAUAAAAAAAAAUUACUAUCUUCAUUGGACUUUGAAAGAUUUCGUGCUGAUAAUGUAUUAUGAAGAUAGAGAAAAAGAGAAGAGAAUAUAAAAAACAAAAUUCAAGUAUGUAUUAUUAAGAAUCAAUGCUCUAUAUUUAUAUGGUCCAAAAUAAGAGUUACAAUUUGAAUGAAAUAAAUCUUCUAAAUUAAAUAAAAUUAAUCUAUGUAUGAUGAUAAUACUAAAUAAUUAUCUCAUUAUUUUACAAUAUUUAUGUAUUUCCUUACACUUUAUUAUCCUAAAUUAAAGCAUAUAAAAAUUUGAAGCUCUCUCAAAACUCAAUUAACUUUUAAAAAAUCAUUAAUUUAGAUCUGCUAUCCCCAUCUCCUCCAAUAAAAAUGACAACUAAUCCCUAAUUUACAUGUCACCAAGCAGUAGAUUGGACGUCCAAAAUGAAAAAUGUACGUUCUUGUUUUAUCAUUUAUGUGUGGUGAAUGGUGAGUGCAAGACUCUGUUCUAUUUUCCACAAAAUCAGUCUCACCACGGUUGGCUGGCUUUAUGCUGGAUAUUUUUCUUAUUCUGAUGUCGACACAGUUGACUGACUUUUGCGGGAUAUUUUUUCAUUGACCUAGCUAUACACGCCCCUCGUGCGCAAUAUUUUUUUACUGGCCGAGCUACUUGUAUUAGGGCGUUUAUACGCCCGGUUACAAGCCUUUUUUUACGAAACAUUUUUAAAUUAAUGACAAAAAUUUCUAUACAUAUGUCAGCUAUCAAAAUUGUUGUCAUGCUAUGUACAACAGGCAUAAUUGAAAAACAAAUACAACUUAGACUGAUCCUGAGUUCUGCACACUCAAAGGUUACGAUAUGAAGUAGCCAAUUUUUAUAAAAAAUAAAGAUAGAUACGACUUUUCUUCAACAAUUGCACAAAAUAUAUGGACAUAAGUUUUGAAUUUUCUAUAUAUCGUCGUGAAAAGUUGAUAUUUUUGACACUUGAUUUCUCAUUAAACGCAGGCUUUGAUCCCUAUUUUUAAAACCUUUUUUUUUUUCAAAUUAAUAUUUUAUUACACCUUUCAGACCCACAAAUUUAUCAAUGUUUAAUAACAGAUUUCAUAAAAUUUUAUCAUAAUUAUUAGAAAUGUACAUUAUUGUUUUAUCAUUUAUGUGUGGUGAAUGGUGAGUGGAAGAUUCUGUUCUAUUGUCCACAAAAUCAGACUUUGACAAUAGCAGGCUGCACCACAGUUGACUGACUUUUGCGGAAUAUUUUUCUUAUUCAGAUGUUGACAAUAUAAACUUGAAAAUUUCUACACAUAUGUCCACUAUCAAAAUCGCUGUCAUCCAACCAUGUACAAACCGCGUAAUUGAAAAAUAAAUCAUUUCAGACAGGUCCUGGGUUCUCCGCGGCAAACUUUUAAUAAAAAUAAAUAAAGAUAGAUAUUUUAGCUCCAUCGCGAAACUCUAGAAAUGAGACGACUGGUUUGAAAUAAUUUCAAAGUUUAAUAGUCACGCAAAGUAUGUAGAAAUCAGUUUUGGAUUUUUAAUAUUAACAUCUUGAAAAGUUGAUAUUUUCGACAUUUGAUUUAACGUUAAAUGCAUAUUUGAUCCCUAUUUUUUUUUUCAAAUUAAUUUUUUAUUACACAUUUCAUUAGAUCCAUAAAUUUAUCAAUAUUUUAAUCACAAAUUUCAUGAACUUUUAAAAACCUUACUAAUUACUCCUAAUAAUUCGGACUUACUUACCCUACCCAUAUGUGUAUGAACCCCACUAAAUACAAGUCUCGCAUUUCAAUUACACAUUUUUCACUAAUACCAAUUUCUGAAGUAUUAAUAAAAAUUAAUAUUAUGUGUUUAAAAUAGUAUUAGUAUUUUAUUAUUGUUGCAUGUUCAUUUUGGUAAAACAUAAAAACUGAUGGUGAUCUAGUUACUUAUUAGAUAUAAAUAUAUAAGAAAAGAAAAAGAUUUUUAUCUCGGUACAUUGAAAAGGAAAAUUUUUAUUCCUCCAUUUGUAUUAAUCCCAUUCAAAAGGAAAAGAAAACUUUUAUUUUAAGAUUUUUCACUUUUAUAUCUAUUUUGAAUGUAUCUUUGGUUUUUAAUUUUAAAAUAAAUGCUAUGAAUUAAUAUGAUGAGCAUGAUUAGCAUGUAAAAUUUUCUAAAUGUGUUUAGAUAAUAUACCUUUUUUGUUUUUACUUAAGUAAAAAAGUUUAUGUUACCGAUAAAAUGAAUAAUUUUUUAUUUUAAAAAUCAUUUAUUUACCUUUAACUUACUCAUAAGUAAUUGUUUUAAACUUAGUCAAAUAUACAUCUCUAAAUUCGAAUAUUUUUCGUGCUCGUCUAACCACAAAGCUGGUCGACAUCACUCUAAUGGUUGAAAAUAAGGUCCACCCAUUGUCUAGCAUAAACAAAUAAGUAAACAAAAUAUUACAAUUCAAUUUAUUCAAUAUUUUCACAUUAUGUAUGUAAUUUCAUUAAACUUUUAUUCGUACAAAUAUUUUCUAACAAUUUUAGUGUUUUUUUUUUUUUUUUACAUUAUCAAUUACCUUACUUUUAAAAAUAUUACUCAUAUAAUUCAUUCCAUACAAACGAAGUGUCUUCUUAAAAAUGCAUAUAUUCAUAUAAUAAAUUAUUUUUGUAAAUAAUACAUUUUUGUAUUAGACUUUAUUUAAUUUAUUUUAAUUUUCGGAACGACCCGAUUGAAACUCCUAUAACUCAUUGACUCUCUUUUCUGAGUCAAUGACAGUUUUCAGUGAAUAAUUCUAUAUAGCACGACUCGUUUUCAAAACAUUGAUGUACACAAGAACCUUAAAGAGUACCCACCAUUCUGAUAGAAAAUUACACUCACUUUUUAGUAAAAUUCUUGAAUCUCCACUAUCCCAUAAUGAAUUUUCAGUCAUAUCCGCGUGGAUGGAUUUGCAAGAUGGUUUUCUUGGCUUUCCUCGUACUACUUCCGACUGCAGUUUUAGGCGAAUGUACAUGUGAAGCCGACGAAGAAGAUCGGAACAAAAGUUUAGCACUCAAAUAUAAGUUAGCUGCACUUGCUUCAAUCCUCGUCGCCAGUGCAAUUGGGGUUUGUCUUCCUGUUUUGGGGAAGACGAUACCAGCUUUGAGUCCAGAGAGAAGCUUUUUCUUUAUUAUAAAGGCAUUCGCAGCCGGAGUAAUUUUGUCGACGGGUUUCAUCCACGUGCUUCCCGAUGCGUUCGAAAACUUGACAUCUCCGUGUAUCAGUGCCCAUCCGUGGGGAGAUUUUCCAUUCACGGGCUUUGUCGCAAUGGUUGCCGCCAUUGGGACUCUUAUGGUGGACACAUAUGCAACCUCCUAUUACAGCAAGAAAUCUAGCGGCAAGACGGAAAUACCUACCGGCGAAGAAGGAGUUGUCCCUCUUCAUACUCAUGCCACCCAUGGCCAUGCACAUGGAGCAGUAUCGAUGGAAACUGAUUCUGGUGAAACACAACUUCUUCGUCACCGCGUAAUCUCACAGGUGUUCGUCUUGAUUUACUAAGUUUGCUGUGUUUGAAGCUGAAAUUAUUUGUUACUAGUUAAGACUUUGGAUUCUAUCUUAACCGAUCAACUUUGUCAAGAGGAAUAACACAAAUUGUGAUUCGUUUGAGCAUACCAAUCUUAAAAUUUUUGUGCUCAUUUCUUGAGUCUUAAUUGGGUCGAAUCGCUCGAUUGGUGGUUUAAUGGACUUUUAUACCAUUUUAAGACAUGAUUUCCAUAUUAAAAAGUCGAUAAGAAGAAUAGAACAAUUCAUCUAUGUUUUCAUCUUUAUUCAAUUUGGGGUUUCUUGCUUAAUUUUCGUUGUGCUGUAG